UAGGGAAUCUUCCGCAAUGGACGCAAGUCUGACGGAGCAACGCCGCGUGAGUGAAGAAGGAUUUCGGUUCGUAAAACUCUGUUGUUAGAGAAGAACAGCGCAUAGAGUAACUGUUAUGCGUGUGACGGUAUCUAACCAGAAAGCCACGGCUAACUACGUUCCAGCAGCCGCGGUAAUACGUAGGUGGCAAGCGUUGUCCGGAUUUAUUGGGCGUAAAGCGAGCGCAGGCGGUCAAUUAAGUCUGAUGUGAAAGCCCCCGGCUCAACCGGGGAGGGUCAUUGGAAACUGGUUGACUUGAGUGCAGAAGAGGAGAGUGGAAUUCCAUGUGUAGCGGUGAAAUGCGUAGAUAUAUGGAGGAACACCAGUGGCGAAGGCGACUCUCUGGUCUGUAACUGACGCUGAGGCUAGAAAGCGUGGGUAGCAAACAGG
rnacentral:rRNA from 1 species